rnacentral:rRNA from 1 species
GCGCACGGGUGCGUAACGCGUAUGCAAUCUACCUUUUACAGAGGGAUAGCCCAGAGAAAUUUGGAUUAAUACCUCAUAGCAUAACGACUUCGCAUGAAUUCACUAUUAAAGUCACAACGGUAAAAGAUGAGCAUGCGUCCCAUUAGCUAGUUGGUAAGGUAACGGCUUACCAAGGCUACGAUGGGUAGGGGUCCUGAGAGGGAGAUCCCCCACACUGGUACUGAGACACGGACCAGACUCCUACGGGAGGCAGCAGUGAGGAAUAUUGGACAAUGGGCGCAAGCCUGAUCCAGCCAUGCCGCGUGCAGGAUGACGGUCCUAUGGAUUGUAAACUGCUUUUAUACGAGAAGAAACACUACUUCGUGAAGUAGCUUGACGGUAUCGUAAGAAUAAGGAUCGGCUAACUCCGUGCCAGCAGCCGCGGUAAUACGGAGGAUCCAAGCGUUAUCCGGAAUCAUUGGGUUUAAAGGGUCCGUAGGCGGUUUAAUAAGUCAGUGGUGAAAGCCCAUCGCUCAACGGUGGAACGGCCAUUGAUACUGUUAAACUUGAAUUAUUAGGAAGUAACUAGAAUAUGUAGUGUAGCGGUGAAAUGCUUAGAGAUUACAUGGAAUACCAAUUGCGAAGGCAGGUUACUACUAAUGGAUUGACGCUGAUGGACGAAAGCGUGGGUAGCGAACAGGAUUAGAUACCCUGGUAGUCCACGCCGUAAACGAUGGAUACUAGCUGUUGGGAGCAAUCUCAGUGGCUAAGCGAAAGUGAUAAGUAUCCCACCUGGGGAGUACGUUCGCAAGAAUGAAACUCAAAGGAAUUGACGGGGGCCCGCACAAG